UCACGUGCUCUAUUCCGGCUGUGCACUGCACAGGGUUGUUUGUCCCUUGUGGUGAGCCGUACAGGAGGCGUCGAUCUGUGUUUUGGGCCGGGAGGAAGGCUGGGUGUAUAUUGGGAACGCUGUGUAUUGCGGCUCUCACGUCGUGGAUAUUGGCGCUCGUACAAUGGCUUAUCCCCUGCCCGGGGCUCAUGUGCAGUGCGGGACAGUCAUUCGUGGGGUGGCCGGUCUCUUAGAGCAUGUGUGAGGCGUACUCUUCUGCUGUGCUCCGGCCUCCGGUGAGCCUCAGCUACUAGUUCUGCUGCUGGCGUAUGGGCCUGCUCCCAGUGCGCUCUCUGCUGACACGCUUCCCUCAGAGCUGGUACUUGUGUUUGUAACCGUCCCUGGCCUGGAUUCUGUGCCUCUUGUUACUAUGAGAGGGGGACACCACCUAGCUUGCUCUGCUGAGGAUACCCUCAGGUUCAAAAUGGAAAAUGACAGCAAAUAAAAAGAUUCUCUGCAGAAAAGGUCAUUUUUCUGACUGGUCCACAUCAUGGUCGCUAUGGGGAAGCUUUAGUGAUUUUAUCUUUAAAAGACAAUUUGCUUUUUUACCCAGAAAGUCGACUGGAGAAACUGUUGAAAGCUUGAAAAAAGUCAGCAAAUGCCAGAAUAUUGGAAGCAGUCUUGUUAAACAAGUGAAGAAAAAACAGAUUGCACAUCAAGCCUCUGCAUUAAAAUCUGUGAAAAAUAACAGCGGAAAGGUGAAGCCUGAUAU